CGGGCCCGCACAAGCAGCGGAGCGUGUGGUUUAAUUCGAUGUUACACGAAGAACCUUACCAGGUUUGACAUGCAAGUGGUAGGAAGCCGAAAGGUGACCGACCCUUCGGGAGCUUGCACAGGUGCUGCAUGGCUGUCGUCAGCUCGUGUCGUGAGAUGUUCGGUUAAGUCCGCUAACGAGUGCAACCCUCGCUGUGUGUUAUAUGUGUCACACGGGACUGCCGGUCUUAAGCCGGAGGAAGGUGGGAUGAUGUCAAGUCAGCAUGGCCUUUAUAUCCUGGGCUACACACACGCUACAAUGGCCAACACAAUAGGUUGCUAAGCCGCGAGGUGGCGCCAAUCCAUAAAGUUGGUCUCAGUUCAGAUUGUAGGCUGCAACCCGCCUGCAUGAAGAUGGAGUUGCUAGUAACCGCAGGUCAGCUAUACUGCGGUGAAUACGUUCCCGGGGCUU
rnacentral:rRNA from 1 species